GAUGAACGCUGGCGGCGUGCUUAACACAUGCAAGUCGAACGAAGCACUCUAUUUGAUUUUCUUCGGAAAUGAAGAUUUUGUGACUGAGUGGCGGACGGGUGAGUAACGCGUGGGUAACCUGCCUCAUACAGGGGGGAUAACAGUUGGAAACGACUGCUAAUACCGCAUAAGCGCACAGUAUUGCAUGAUACAGUGUGAAAAACUCCGGUGGUAUGAGAUGGACCCGCGUCUGAUUAGCUAGUUGGUGGGGCAACGGCCUACCAAGGCGACGAUCAGUAGCCGACCUGAGAGGGUGACCGGCCACAUUGGGACUGAGACACGGCCCAAACUCCUACGGGAGGCAGCAGUGGGGAAUAUUGGCACAAUGGGGGGAAACCCCUGAUGCAGCGACGCCGCGUGAGCGAAGAAGUAUUUCGGGUAUGUAAAGCUCGAUCAGCAGGGAAGACAAUGACGGUACCUGACUAAGAAG
rnacentral:rRNA from 1 species